UACCAAAUUGGAAUCCUCUUUCAUGGCAACAUCUGUAGAAAAGGAGCUGCGUCUUGUGCCUCUAUAAAUUCACUACUUGAUGAGCUCCAAGAAGGGAGUGCCACACAGAGGGAGAGGGGCGAAUGGAAGUUCAACGUGGCAGGAAAUGAGGAUGAAAAGAGAUGAGCCUGGAGAGAUGGACUGAGGAGACCAUGAAGAGCCCAGAUCAGCUCCUUAAAAAUCCCACCCCUUCUGCUCUUUGUAUCUUUGGAACCAAGCACAGUGCCUUAUUCAUCCUGAGGGCUCCAAACCCGUUGUUCAACCACAGACUCCUGACAGCUGGCUGCCCUCAUGGAGGGGGCCUGAGUUUCUACGAUUCGAGGAUGUGGAUAUCGAUGGAGUUGGAGGCUCCUCCCCCGCCCCGACCUGCGAUUGUGACAAACAGAACAAGAAUUUCUGGGAAAUAAAUCCCUGAACUUUUCCCACCAGGGGCUUGAACUUUUAAUGGGAGUGGAUGGUGAUACUGUGGUACCACCUGCCUGCCCCACGGAAGCUUCUCUCUGCCUCAACUGGGGCACAAGGGGUAUUGAUGCUGAUGGGGUCAGGUAUGCCUGGGGGAGGUUUCUGCCCUCAAAUGCCCCAUGCCACCUGUGGGAACAUUUGUAUCCCUUCCAACCUCCCAUCCCUGAGCCAAGGUGUCCUGUCCUGUGUGGAAUUUCCUAAGAGUUGGGAUAAAAGGAGGCUAAGAUGGGGGUGGAGGUAAUGCUGAAGCUUUGGGCCACGAGUGUAGGCUGGAGGGAGAGCUGCAGGACUGGGGAGGCAGGGGAGGGGAGCAGGCUUUUAAGCUGAGUGUUUCCUAAGUGCUAGGCCCUAUGCUGGUGGCGCAGUGGUAAAGAAUCUGCCUGCCGUUGCAGGAGGCGCAAGAGACGGGGGUUCAAUUCCUGAGUCAGGAAGAUCCCCUGGAGUAAGAAAUGGAAAC